CUGGCCGUGGCGCAGCUUGGUAGCGCACCUGCUUUGGGAGCAGGGGGUCGGGAGUUCGAAUCUCCCCGGCCAGA
rnacentral:tRNA from 1 species